rnacentral:rRNA from 1 species
ACCAGACUCCUACGGGAGGCAGCAGUGGGGAAUAUUGGGCAAUGGGCGCAAGCCUGACCCAGCAACGCCGCGUGAAGGAAGAAGGCCCUCGGGUUGUAAACUUCUUUUAACAGGGACGAAGAAAGUGACGGUACCUGUUGAAUAAGCCACGGCUAACUACGUGCCAGCAGCCGCGGUAAUACGUAGGUGGCAAGCGUUAUCCGGAUUUACUGGGUGUAAAGGGCGUGUAGGCGGGGACGCAAGUCAGAUGUGGAAACCAUGGGCUCAACCUGUGGCCUGCAUUUGAAACUGUGUUUCUUGAGUACUGGAGAGGCAGACGGAAUUCCUAGUGUAGCGGUGAAAUGCGUAGAUAUUAGGAGGAACACCAGUGGCGAAGGCGGUCUGCUGGACAGCAACUGACGCUGAGGCGCGAAAGCGUGGGGAGCAAACAGGAUUAGAUACCCGCGUAGCG